rnacentral:rRNA from 1 species
GAUGAACGCUAGCGGCAGGCUUAACACAUGCAAGUCGAGGGCAGCAUGACACGGAGAUUCGUCGAAGUGUCGAUGGCGACCGGCGCAAGGGUGCGUAACGCGUGAGCAACUUGCCCGUUUCUGGGGAAUAACCGUUGGAAACGACGACUAAUACCCCAUAGUAUCAUGAUGAGGCAUCUUAUUGUGAUUAAAGAAAUUCGGAAACGGAUAGGCUCGCGUGACAUUAGCUAGAUGGCGGGGUAACGGCCCACCAUGGCGACGAUGUCUAGGGGUUCUGAGAGGAAGGUCCCCCACACUGGAACUGAGACACGGUCCAGACUCCUACGGAGGCAGCAGUGAGGAAUAUUGGUCAAUGGUCUGACGACUGAACCAGCAUGCCGCGUG